AGUAGCAGAUCCUGGCUGUGACAUCUGUCACCCCAUUGGUCACCAGGGUUGAUUAGGCUAAUCUGGCUGGCUAGACGCGUGUCCCCUUCCUCCCUCACCACUCUAUGUGCAUCCCUCCUGAAACUGCACACUCCAUCAAAGAGGACGACCACCCCUGAUAGAGGAGGACCAUUUACUCUGUUAAGAGUAUUCAAGUAGCUGUGCUCCCCUGCUAGAGCCUCCAAACUAGUAGAAUGCAAAGACAGUUUAAAAAAAGAGGAGAUACCAAGAAAUAUUCUCACUAAGGAAGCUAUUAGUGCUU
ensembl:misc_RNA 7SK 7SK RNA